UACGUAGGGUCCGAGCGUUAAUCGGAAUUACUGGGCGUAAAGCGUGCGCAGGCGGUUUUGUAAGCCAGAUGUGAAAGCCCCGGGCUCAACCUGGGAACUGCAUUUGGGACUGCAAGGCUGGAGUACGGCAGAGGGAGGUGGAAUUCCACGUGUAGCAGUGAAAUGCGUAGAGAUGUGGAGGAACACCGAUGGCGAAGGCAGCUUGCUGGGCUUCUUCUGACACUGAGGUACGAAAGCGUGGGGAGCGAACAGG
rnacentral:rRNA from 1 species